rnacentral:lncRNA from 1 species
AACAAGCUUCAAAAUAAAAGACAAACAAUAUAUCAAAAUUUGUAAGCAAGGGUUAGCCGAUAUAUCCAAACAAUAUAAUUAAGACUCGAAAAAAGAAAGGCUAAGAAAUAUUGGACUCCUAAUUUGUGAGACUCCAAGCGUUGCAAUGAUCCUAACCGCUGUUGGCCUAAUACUUUAGGCCAAUAACGAGUUCCAAAGUAGAAACUCCAGCUCUCCGGUUGUACAUGA